CUAUAAAAGAUGUAACAGAUGCAAACUGUAACACAAGGGCCAUUAACCCUUUCUCUGCCGGGCACACUCAGUCCCCACGCCCCGCACCUAUUGUCUCCUGUGCUAGAAGCUUUGCAGAAAACCUGGAA
ensembl:misc_RNA